rnacentral:rRNA from 1 species
GACGAACGCUGGCGGCGUGCUUAACACAUGCAAGUCGAACGGAAAGGCCCUUCUUUUUUGGGGUGCUCGGGUGUCGAACGUGUGAGUAACACGUGAGUAACCUUCCCUUGACUUUUGUAUAACUUCAUGAAACUGGGGCUAAUACCGGAUAGGAGCUCCUGCUGCAUGGUGUGGGUUGGAAAGUGUCGGCGGUUGGGGAUGGACUCGCGGCUUAUCAGCUUGUUGGUGGGGUAGUGGCUUACCAAGGCUUUGACGGGUAACCGGCCUGAGAGGGUGACCGGCCACAUUGGGACUGAGAUACGGCACAGACUACUACGGGAGGCAGCAGUGGGGAAUAUUGCACAAUGGGCGGAAGCCUGAUGCAGCAACGCCGCGUGCGGGAUGACGGCCUUCGGGUUGUAAACCGCUUUCGCCUGUGACGAAGCGUGAGUGACGGUAAUGGGUAAAGAAGCACCGGCUAACUACGUG